rnacentral:tRNA from 1 species
GGGGAUAUAGCUCAGUGGGCCUGUGCCUGCCUGACAAUCAUAAGGUCCUGAGUUCAAUUCCCAGUACCCCCU